UUGCUUGUUUCCACAGCACAUAUACUAAAAUUGGAAUGAUACAGAGAUUGGCAGGGCCCCUGUGGAAAGAAGACUCACAGAUUUUCCUAACUAUA
rnacentral:snRNA from 1 species